AUUGAACGCUGGCGGCAGGCCUAACACAUGCAAGUCGAGCGGAUGAAGGGAGCUUGCUCCUGGAUUCAGCGGCGGACGGGUGAGUAAUGCCUAGGAAUCUGCCUUGUAGUGGGGGAUAACGUUCGGAAACGGGCGCUAAUACCGCAUACGUCCUGAGGGAGAAAGUGGGGGAUCUUCGGACCUCACGCUAUCAGAUGAGCCUAGGUCGGAUUAGCUAGUUGGUGGGGUAAAGGCCUACCAAGGCGACGAUCCGUAACUGGUCUGAGAGGAUGAUCAGUCACACUGGAACUGAGACACGGUCCAGACUCCUACGGGAGGCAGCAGUGGGGAAUAUUGGACAAUGGGCGAAAGCCUGAUCCAGCCAUGCCGCGUGUGUGAAGAAGGUCUUCGGAUUGUAAAGCACUUUAAGUUGGGAGGAAGGGAAGUAAGUUAAUACCUUGCUGUUUUGACGUUACCAACAGAAUAAGCACCGGCUAACUUCGUG
rnacentral:rRNA from 1 species